CGUGCUAUUUAAUUGAUCAAACACGUUUGGUCAAUUAUUUUAUUGACCAAACACGUUUGGUCAAUUAAAUUGGCACU